rnacentral:rRNA from 1 species
GAUGAACGCUGGCGGCGUGCCUAAUACAUGCAAGUCGAGCGAACGGACGAGAAGCUUGCUUCUCUGAUGUUAGCGGCGGACUGGUGAGUAACACGUGGAUAACCUACCUAUAAGACUGGGAUAACUUCGGGAAACCGGAGCUAAUACCGGAUAAUAUUUUGAACCGCAUGGUUCAAAAGUGAAAGACGGUCUUGCUGUCACUUAUAGAUGGAUCCGCGCUGCAUUAGCUAGUUGGUAAGGUAACGGCUUACCAAGGCAACGAUGCAUAGCCGACCUGAGAGGGUGAUCGGCCACACUGGAACUGAGACACGGUCCAGACUCCUACGGGAGGCAGCAGUAGGGAAUCUUCCGCAAAGGGCGAAAGCCUGACGGAGCAACGCCGCGUGAGUGAUGAAGGUCUUCGGAUCGUAAAACUCUGUUAUUAGGGAAGAACAUAUGUGUAAGUAACUGUGCACAUCUUGACGGUACCUAAUCAGAAAGCCACGGCUAACUACGUG